GGGGAAUAUUGCGCAAUGGGGGCAACCCUGACGCAGCAACGCCGCGUGCAGGAAGAAGGUCUUCGGAUUGUAAACUGUUGUCGCAAGGGAAGAAGACAGUGACGGUACCUUGUGAGAAAGUCACGGCUAACUACGUGCCAGCAGCCGCGGUAAUACGUAGGUGACAAGCGUUGUCCGGAUUUACUGGGUGUAAAGGGCGCGUAGGCGGACUGUCAAGUCAGUCGUGAAAUACCGGGGCUUAACCCCGGGGCUGCGAUUGAAACUGACAGCCUUGAGUAUCGGAGAGGAAAGCGGAAUUCCUAGUGUAGCGGUGAAAUGCGUAGAUAUUAGGAGGAACACCAGUGGCGAAGGCGGCUUUCUGGACGACAACUGACGCUGAGGCGCGAAAGUGUGGGGAGCAAACAGGAUUAGAUACCCUGGUAGUCCACACCGUAAACGAUGGAUACUAGGUGUAGGAGGUAUCGACCCCUUCUGUGCCGCAGUUAACACAAUAAGUAUCCCACCUGGGGAGUACGACCGCAAGGUUGAAACUCAAAGGAAUUGACGGGGGCCCGCACAAGCAGUGGAGUAUGUGGUUUAAUUCGAAGCAACGCGAAGAACCUUACCUGGGCUUGACAUCCCUGGAAUCGAGUAGAGAUACUUGAGUGCCUUCGGGAAUCAGGUGACAGGUGGUGCAUGGUUGUCGUCAGCUCGUGUCGUGAGAUGUUGGGUUAAGUCCCGCAACGAGCGCAACCCCUAUUGUCAGUUGCCAUCAUUAAGUUGGGCACUCUGGCGAGACUGCCGGUGACAAAUCGGAGGAAGGUGGGGACGACGUCAAAUCAUCAUGCCCCUUAUGUCCUGGGCUACACACGUAAUACAAUGGCAUUUAACAGAGGGAAGCAAAACCGCGAGGUGGAGCAAAUCCCUAAAAGGUGUCUCAGUUCGGAUUGCAGGCUGCAACUCGCCUGCAUGAAGUCGGAAUUGCUAGUAAUCGCGGAUCAGCAUGCCGCGGUGAAUACGUUCCCG
rnacentral:rRNA from 1 species